GCUCCUAACUACCAAACUGACAUUCCUUUAGAUUUGUAAUAAACCCUGUAUACUCAUUCUUGAUUAUUACCUUGGAUUAGAGUUAUUACUUUGAUUCUGAAAUUGCUUAUACUUCGAACAGAGAUCCUCUGCUCUAAGGCUUGGAACUAUAAGUAUUAGAAUGUCCGGUAGGGGCUGGCAGUUGGUUCAGAAGCUAAAACAAGGGAAUCAGGCUCUAAAGUAGGGCCAAGCAACGGGACAAACUACUAAGUAAGCCGGGCAAGUCACUAAGGGCUAAGUAACUACGAGUUACACUAGUUGCAUUCUUUGACUAAUGAGUUUGAUUCUGACUCUCACUACUUAGUUGCCCUAGAUGCUGGCCUAGUAAAAGACUUCGGACUUCCUCCUUACUCCUUACUGCUGGCUUCCUCCUUACUAGUAACUUAGGGCUUACUCAUAACUUCCUCCUGACUUCGGGCUUACUCUUUGAACUAAGGCCUCUAUACCUCUAAAACGGAUACUUGCAACCCGGCUCACUGGUAUGAUUACUUAAGAGAACAGAACAGAUAGAUACAAAUACGGAAUUCCAAUCUAACAAGAACAGGGGCGAGCUACUACUCUAACUCUGAGGGAAGGCACGACCUGAAGUGAAGAGAAGAGGGGCUUCCUGAGUGAUAUAAUCUUUCCAGUUUUACGUCGGUGUCUGAGGGCCGGACAGAGCUUUAGUUUAUUUAGCUUCCUAUUCCGAAAGUUCAGUAUGGGGUAUUGCUGCCUAUCUCAUACUUUAUAUUAAUAUUUGGACUUUUACUUUGAGAGAAUUGAUUCUGGGCUUUGUCUUUAAGAGAAUUGAUUCUGUAUAAUAGUAAGGGUCCCCAUUGCCCACUAACGGUAGCGGCGGUUACUCGAGCAACGGAUUCUAGAACACCUGAUUUGCGGCAUAUCUGUCAUUGGGUAUUUAGGCAUCCUUUUCGAAAGGUAGGAAGUAAGUGAGCAAGCAAGCAAAAAAGCAACUAGUUCAAUUCAAAAAGAUGUUGAUGUUGUGCGCCUUACUUGAAUAAAAGCAGUAAGCAGUUUUCUAAUUUAGAGUUGUUGUUUCCGAGGGAAGCAGCAAUCAAUUAGAAAUCGAAAAGUCACGUUUCAGUUUCAAGAUCUGACAACAGUAUCAUAAGCAGCGGAAUAGCCAGUUCCUGUUUCAUAGUGAAGAUCAUAUACUUCUGUUCGCGCACCUCUACUUAUUGCUGACUCCUGACUUGAAUGUUAUACCUGCUGCGGACUCUCAAGUACAGAAUAGAAAAGAGACAACAACUUUCUACUUAACCACUCCCACAGAUCCCGAUCCUUAUUCUUCCCUUGGUUGUUGACUUGCUCUCUUGAUUGAAGCUGCCUAACACACCCCAAGAAGUAAGACUGAAACGCGUAACUAAGACUUAGUUUGAUAAUUCACUCAUAUGCUCCAGGGCGGCCUAGCACUACUUUAACUUAUCACUUGGUAUUGAACUCAUCAGUAUUAGUACACCACUCCUAACUCCUGAAGUAGUCCUCAUGAGACUAAAUACGUACCGAGAGAACGAAACCGACAAGGGGCCCCAGGGAACCACUCUUAAGUAAGUAUACCGGUCAGAGCUAUAAGACUAACUUACUAGUUGGAUUCCGUACCUCUUGUUUCUUGGCCCGACACUACUUACUUAGAUUAUGUAUUCUUCUAUACACCUAGGCUCUUGCAUUCCACGCCAGUUUCAAACUUAUACUCAUACUAAUCAGAAUAGAACCCGUGUGAGCUAUACCAAUACCAGACAUUUGAUUCCAAUUCAUUAGUGGAAGAAUACCUGUCUCAUCUGACGAAACAGAACUUAGCUCAUUAGCGUAGGACCUAAACAUAUCAAAGUGAGCCUGGCACUCCGAACUCGUAUACUGAAAUUGCUGAUCUAACAUCUGGCUUCACCCGCAGUUGUUUGAGUCCUGUUACUUGUCGAGUGAAUUCAGUCCUGUCUUAGGGAGCCCUUAUUUGUGUUAUCAUAUCCAAAUCGGGACAGGUAUCCUUGCCUUCUAGUUAAUUCCUUAUUAAUGACAAGUUUCAGUCUGAUGCUUAUUCCUUUGAUUCCAUAUUUGGUCUGAUACUUUUACUACUGGCUCUAAGUCUUUUACUUACUCAUUGCAUUCUGACAGGUCAAAAGAGAGGGAGUCCGCUCCUACUCGCUCUAAAACUGCCCUCAUGCUUAGAUGGCGAGUUCCCCUUUCUUUCAUGCGUAGAUGCCGAGCUAUAGCUCUAAGACUUACUUUUAGUGUAACGCAUGGGACUAAAGCAGCUACAACUAAAGAACAAAACCUGUGCUAUUAUACUGAAAUCAUAAAGCAGGAAUCUAACUAUGACAUUAAUAAAGGAACAGCGGCUAACAAGGCUUAUCCUUCUAACUGGGACUUCUACUCAAAACUAGUGGAUUUUUCUCUCUUUUCAUUAUAAGUAAUAAGAGUCUGGCUGGAUGAAACUCAAGGGUAGUAGACUAAAGCUAAGUACUAUUAGAAUAUGGGCCUUAGUCAAUAAUUGCUAGCGCAUCUACUCUACUAGUUAUAAUACAACUAAUGCCAUUGGAACUAAACUACAAACUACAGGACUAAAUCAAACAAUAAAGAACAGGACUGGUGUCUCGGAGAACCAAACUCUGUAUUUGGAGAAUAUGAUGUGUGGUAGAUGCAUCGCAUCCCUAGUGAAUUCAACUCAACAGUAAGAGACUUCAACAAGUAUUAGUCCGAAUUGAACUAUAGUGACUCAAAGGAUGAAAACACAGCUAAAGAACUUCACUCUCCAAGCAAUGGUACAAUUCACUCUCCAAGCAAUGGGACAAGUUUCUAUUAGAGGAAUCAACACUCGAACAGGAGACUUAGCGUGGGCCCGGGUAAUCCCCUAGUAUAAGAGCAAGGGAGUGAAUAAGUAAUUCCACUAUAACAGAGGAAUGAGCCCCUCUUUCCGGUAACUAAGAAAUCAAUACAGAAGUAAUAAUGAGGAGUAGUCGUAGGCAUACAGAAGUUCACUAUCAGCUAGGAAUAAUAAGUAAUGGAAGAGGAAAGUAACGACUACAAAUGCAGGAUUGCGCUCAGCAGUCCAAGAGUGAAGCUAAGAAUACAGAUUACUGCACCGCCUAACAAACAACAAAGACUACUGGAAUGCUACUACCAAGUAUAGAUUCAACUAACUCCUCUGCUAACAAGGAAUUCAACUAGACACCAACAAGACGACAACAACCCCUACUGAAUGAAAAGAAGAAACCUAUAGACACCAACUCAGACUCGCAUUCCUGGCUACCGGCCUAUAUCUCUUUGCUUUUACCCUGACACUACUAGGAGCUAGAAUGAAAUCACUACCGCCGGCCAAGCAACGGGCCAAGCAACUACUACAGUAGCGCGGCAGGGUUUCCCCAGAGUAGUUAGAGAGAUUCAGGCCUUACAUCCACUGUGACAAAGGUCAUAGCAGGGAAAAACACUUCAUUCACAGCCAGGAAAGAAGGCUUAAGGGAAGGUUCCUGAUUCCUUGACCUAUGCUUCGGUUUACCUCUAUGCUUCGUUGACCUUGGAACUAUAUUCCUCUUUUUUGAUUGACCAGCGGGACUCCUAGGUUUUGUCAUCGCCUUGCCGGCACCUUCCUUCCCUGAGCUCACCUCCUCUACCACCUUUCUAUAUGCCCUUAGGAUAAGUCAGUCUGUCUGCGCAAUCCGCAAUCAUUAACCCGGCUCUACGUCUUCUUAAGAAAGGUGCGUCUGUAUUCACUUGCAUUCCGACCCGAACCUGAGAACUAUCCACAAGACCGCUUACGCCAAACUCGAGAAGAAGCUUUAGAAGGCGAGGUUACCAUUACUUGUUAUUCCACUAGUGAUAUUUGGGGCAAGAUCAAUAUAUAGUGAUCCGUUAUGAUUGUUCAAACUACGGUAAAUAGUGGAAAGUAGUUAGGCCUUACUUAAGUCUGGUCUCCUCUCCCAGGAGUGAGUCGAUGAAAGCCAAUAGACAGAAGCAAGGGUAUACUUUUCGCUUGACAGGAACUUACUUGCAACAACCGGCCGCGUCAGGAGCUAAAAGCGCGUCAGUAAUUAGUGAUUUUAGAGUCAUUACCGAGUCCCUAUCUGAUGGAUUUGCCAUAGGAGGAGUUUCCAGUAGGUUAAACAACUUCUUUAUUACUUGCUAUGUGUUUGUGAGCCAGAGAGGGCAGGGAAAUUGGGGUUGCAUCCAGUAAUAAUCUCAUAUCACUGACAAAGAAUACAGAAUCCACUAAGGGCUCAUCUACCGCCAACUUAGAGAAAGAAGUAUAUGAUGAAGCCUUAACCUAGCCAAUGGAGUAGUGAUCGGUAACACCUCUGAUUGUUGGUUACGUUACAGAUUGUCCCGCUAUAGCUGGUAUAGUUCCAUAAGCCGAAUCACAGUCCAAGUUCUUAUGCCCACCUAGAAGAUUAAGGGAUAUGAAGAAAGUACUGGUUCGGGUGUUGAUGCUGUAGUAGCUCCUUCCUUGUCGUGGAGUAUAGGAUCUCUCUGUUCGCCCUGUUCCACUUAUAUCGUAUGUUGAAGCGGAAUCUACUCUCCAAUCUCAUGCCCACGUGGACUAUGCGGUGUGUGAAGCAUCUAUUGCCGGUGUUAGUGUGUCUCUUGACUCUAGAUCUUAAGCAUAAGAAUGAAAGUAGACAAGCGGUUCUGCAAGUUCAUUGGAUUACGGGUCGGGUGCUAGUACUGUUGCUAACUUAUAUUACGGGUGCUUUCAGUUGGUUCCACAAGUUUUGUUCCUGUUCCGGAUCUGAUAAUAAGUAAAGGGAAGGGGGUUUCAAGUUUACCAGUCGUGAAAGUUGACUAUAUGAUUUGUUUGUAACAUUCCUUCCUACCCUACCUAGGCUUAUAUGCGCUGUACUACAAAUUCCUGAUUUUUGUUUCAAGUGUUGAGUCAGCUGUUCGCCCAGUUCGACUUUUCUCGUUGUUUAUAGAAAGAAGCCCAGAAGAAGCGGAUGCUGGAAAGUAAACUAAUCUGACUCCUUCGCCAGGAAAGUAAACCUCAUACUGCUUGCGCACAAGGACGAACUCAUCAGGUGUUAAAGCCUUAUUUGCCCUACCAUAACUUCUUCAGCGCGGUGAAGAUAUAGUGGAAUCUUUCUUUGUUGCUUUAGCCCUCGAAAGAAAAAAUCCAGUAUUUGUUGACAGUGAAAGUGAGCUGUGCGUUAGCUUAGUAUAGAAAAGGUCAUAUUACUCAAUAUAGAUAUAUACUAGAGGUUAAACAAAGGGAAAGUAAGCGUUAGCGACCCGACCCCGAGAAUCAUAAGUGUCAAGUUACUCACUUAUUGCUUUUUGAAUGAAAGUAAGCGGUGAGUGAAUAAGUUUCAUCGUCAACAGUUCGAGGAAAAUCUACAUCUACAAGAGAAGACUCAGUUUCAAGAGAUUGUUCGGCUACUGGCUUUGAGCACGAGGUUUGCCACUUCAUUCUAUAAUACGGGUAAGUGGGGAACAAGAAUGAUGUCCGUUUGAUAGCAUCUUAUCUUGUAGUUGAUCAUGAAAUUCUCAAUUCAGAGUUUGUUGGUGACUUCUUCUACUUAGUGGUGUAAUUCCCAAGUGACUAAGUAAGUAUUAUAAUAGUACUAUAGGAGUUUUCAAGUGUUCAGUAACUACUCUGGGAUACUGUGCCAGGAAAGCUAUGUACUUGUUUCUAUCAUCCCUAGCAAUUAGCCCUAGCUCAUUACCUCUUUAAACUAUCCCUCUCCUCGCGUUACCAUUCUGUUACUGACUAUUCGGAGACUCUCCUGUCUGCUUGUCUGUGAGUUUCAUUCAGUUACUUACUUCUAGCCUCUGAUCAAGUAUCUUCUCCAUUCUCUUGUUCGCACAGAGCAUCUAGUUUAUUUACCUACUUUAUCGCUACUCAUAUAAUAAUUUGUAUAGUUCCAGUGACUAGUUUAGUACUAUUUAUCUCAAUACGGGCAGAAGAAGUCAACCUGCAACUGGAGACUUUCCCCUUACUGAUUCUUUUAGAUACCCUUACUUUUCAGGUACAAGUCAGAGGUGAGUAGCACGCGGGUCUUAACUUCAAGUUUCGGUCGGCUAGAGAGAAUCAGCUUGAUCGGGAGAAUAAACAGUUUCAAUAGCGAGAUCCUAGGCAGUGGCCGUAUCAAGUCCAGUUGAUAGAAAGGCUAAACCAGGACGUGGUUCUAACUGCUCCUGUGUUAAGGUAUUCUAUUCCAUUCAGAAGUCGAAGAGCUUGUCGACUUGUCCAUUAGUAGUAGCUUGUUCCUUAUAGCCCUUGAAUACUCUCAAGAUGGUGUGAAAGCAUAAUAAGGAUAAUCAGCAGUAUCAAGUCAGUCAGUAGUAACCGCUAAGGAAGCAGCAUAAUUAGAAUGCCCACGCCACUGAAGAGGAAUUAGCCAGCUAUUGAGAUAGAAUAGAUGACAAACCUGCGCUCUAAACUAGAAAUACAGAAUUGAAACCCUAAAGUCAUAAUUGAACUAAGUAGCCAUAGGAUAUGCUUUAGUGCUUGUGUUAAGCAAGUAGUCAAUAUAGAAUAGAGGACCAGUACAAGCAGCCAACAUAAGUAAGGGUUAGUUGUUAAUUGGCCCUAUCAAAUUCGAUCUUUAUUAUUAAGGAUGGUUCGAAUGCCAUGCCCCUUCCCUUAAGAAUUGAGUGAAAGUAUUGCCAGUUGCUCGAGUUAUAGAGGUAGUUUCAUCCCGAGUUUUCAUCAUAAAUAGCAUCAGUGGUGUGGGAUGAGAAUGGUACCCCUCUUUCUAACCAUGGGACCUAUCUUGCUACACCCUCUAUUUGGUUUUUUGCACUCUAAAGUUAUAACUCUUCCCUUCAUCUAAUCCGAUCUCCUGGUUGGUAUGGUCCCUUUCUUUAUAAGCUCUGGAAAUCCUUUAAUGAAUCCAUUGACUAUAUUCCUCGCCUAUCUUGCUGGUUCCUUAAUGAAUCCAUUGACUAUAUUCCUCGCCUAUCUUGCUGGUUCCUUUCUUUAUGGUUGCUAUCUCGUACCUUAUGUUUUAGUGCUAAAGCUUCCUACUGCCCUAUUUGUUUCCCCCUCUACUAGGCUAAUGAUUCUGCUUGAGUUUAUACUGUUUCCCUUGCCGAUUCCUCUUCUCUUGUAUUGCUCCACUUUCCUUCCCGCUUACCCUUACUUGGAAUCAUAAGCUGACUAUGCUAAUGCUGACUCAACAAGCAGGGGUCCAACUUCAUAAUGCGCGAUAAGUCAAUCAGUUUCAUCUUAUAUAGAAGCCUCAGCCGAAUGCCCAUCGAUACUUGUUUAAUAUCAUCUAGAUAAGAGCUUUGUAUAGAAAUCAAGUCACUGGACUGGACACUCCGCUCCAAAGCCACCCUACCUACCUGUAGACCAAGAUCAGAAGCCUAAGAUGGAUCAGUAGUUUCAACAGAAUCAUCAGCCCUUAAGUAAUUGGUUUAGGCAGUAGAUCCCCUUAAGAGUUUCAUCUUUGUUUGUUAGUGAAAAGAGUCCCGAGUUAACCUUUCUUUUAUGCCUGGGCUUCCCUUAUUAAGAACUAGUCCGUAUUUGGGUGUUCAUCGCCUUAGUCAAAAAAUUCCAUUCUAUUCUGAAGUAGUAGGCUUUACUCGGGGAUUCUUCAGUAGUAGCUUUUACUUGGGGAAUGUUUUCUACUUUCUUAUCCGCUAGAUCUAUCCCUAUUCUUCUCCAGACACUCACUCCUUUGCUAAGGUUAGCUUGUCUCUUUGACUACUUAGUUCAAUUCAUAGGUAGGGUUGCAUUAACACUUACUAUAAGAACUAUUGUCAAUUCACUCUUAUAAUAAUCACAGAUAGAGCGUAAUGUAGGGCAACCCCCUUUCCCUGCAGCUGAAGUCAAAGAAUUCACUGGCCUAGAUCCAUAAUGCCUAGCUCCAUCCUAUUAUUCUCUCCAUCCUAUUAUUCUAAAGUAAACUUUCCUGCGUAAUAUAAGUAAGGCACCCCGACCCGACCUCUAUACCUCUUGGCACAUAAGUGAGGAAUUGAAUGGAACCUAUGGAGCACCCGGCUAAUGAUCUUAGAACUGGAAGAAGCUUUUAACCGAUCUUAUAACUGAUAUGAUAUUCUUUCUUUCUUUAGAAUAUGAUGAAACUACGGGCCAAGCUACGAUACAUUAUAACUCGUUAUAACCAAAUCCUGUUUAAACCCAUAUUGUGUAAGUAGAGCGUCAAGAUGAGUUGUUUUCUGGUUUAUUUGUUCUUUCUAAUUUAUUGUUCGAUAGUUUUCUCCCAUCAUUCUUAUCACUUAGGGCUUACUAGCUACUAACUUAGGGCUUACUACUAACUACUAACUAGCUUCGGGCAAUCGGUGGUCUAGUAACUGACUUCAACAACUACCCGCCUCUACUUCUUUUGUUUUAGCAUAGCACCCGACCUCUAGUGUUAACGCCUAACUCUCCUCUGUCAAAAGCCAAUCUCUUCUCUCACAGACAAAGAAACUCCACUUUCCUUUUAUUGCUACCAAUACAAGGUAAAGAAUCCAAGUUUGUUAGCCAUAGGCAUAGGAGAGGAAGUAUUGUCAGAGGUAGCUACCGGUAGUUAAGGGCUUACUUUAUGCUAAGUUAAGGGCAAUAGAGUGCUUGAUGUCGGUCGUGGAGAAAAGUCAUUGUCCCGCUUACACACAACUCACAUCUUACUCUUAUUGGACUUGGUAUGGUACUAGAGAAAGACUCAUUUGAAGACAUAGGCUAAAUAGGGACUCCAAAGGAAGGCAGUUAUCAUGUCUGAAUCCGGACUUGGUAAUAACAUAGAUUGCUCUUCGGUCUUAGACAGCUCCUAAAGAGAUAGUCACUACCCCUCCGCUCUUAACCUAAUCAAUGUCGUAUAAGAAUUGGACUUGCUAGUUCUAAGAGAGAAAAGAUGAGAUGCCCAGCAAGAGCAAGAGAGAGAAGACCGGUAGGCAUGAGAACUGUAUUGCCAGGUCAAGUUCCGGAGCAUUAGAUUACAUAGCCCACCUCUCCUCGAAAGUAACUGAGGAUAUCCGUUGCCCACCUCGAAGACCCGCUUUCAGCUUACUUGAGAACAGAAACAUCAUUAAUGAGAACUGGAACAGGCAAUUCUCUUUGAACUCAAAACUCGGAAUUGACCUACCGUUUCUAAGACCUUUACUAAAAAGAAGGAAUCCAACAAAUAAGUGUGAGAAUGAAAACACCAACUAUUAGAAUCAAAAGCAAAGGCUCUAACUAGUGCUCCUUACUUAUGAUAAAGAAUCCCACGACUACUCACGGGGCUUACUGUCCUUUAUCUAACCCUCCCUCUACUCUUCUAUGCGUAUAACACAUGGGUUGGUGGACUACCAAUUUCGACUACUCUACAGUAAAUAAGAGAACAACUAGGGACUCGGAAUCAAAUAAGUAAGGAAAAGAAUAUAAGGACUCGGAAUCAAAUAAGUAAGGAAAAGAAUAUAACUACCAAGAGAAAGAUCCAGACCAACGCUAAAGAGAAUUGAGCUAUAAUAGCUAUCAGACUAAGACACUGCCCCAACAGACUAGAAACUUCAACUAGGGGAUCCAACUGGAGAUAACAAGGCUCGGAUCACUGCUAGCAGGACUGUAUGACCUACACACAUCAAUAAGACUUUACUGCCGCUCCUAACUACCAAACGGGCAUGGCAUCCCUUAAUCCAUUUAUGGCCUAUGAGUUCGGGCCUACCUCUCUUCCUCGCAAACAGGCACUCCCUUCUUGCAUUCCUUAUUGCCUGCCUCGCCUUUAGUUAAGUCUACCUUUCCUUUCUUCCAUUCUCGAUUUCCGGAUUGAUUCCAAGCCAGCAGCUGACGCUGCCCUUGCUUUUGAGAGUGUAGUGCCGUAUUUAUGUAAGUAGCGUGUCAUGUAAUAGUAAGUAGCAUGCCAUGUGUUUUAUUGGUUUCAUAUAAUAUAUAAUAGUAGCCCCUGUGUAUGGUACGUAACCUUGAUUGAUACAUUGAUUGAAACCCGCGUAUGGCACAACACACCCACGACUAUUGACUCUUAAGGGAUGUGUUCCGUAGGGGUAUGUUGUCGGUGUUCGAUAGAAGUUUAGAGGAAAGAAUAACUAGAAGAAUGGACUUUAGAUAGUAUUAAUAGAAGUGAAUAUGAUAAGCGAAAGAGUGUAGCGGCAGUCUACUUACACCAGUAGCUCUACUCUUAUUGGUAUUGAUUGGAUUCCUUGUUAGUAGAGGUGGUUUCCCAGUUUCUGACCUUUGAGUUGGUUUCCCAGCCGAGUGGGGGAAGUCCAAGUUUCGAGUUGGGUUCAUCUGUAAUCGAAUAAUGAAUGAAUAUAUUAUAUCAUAAUAGAGUCCAAAGCUCAGCUCAGUAAUAGAAUCAUUGGUGGCAGGGUCAAGUCAAAUACUGAUAGAUGCGAGAUCCGUGGCUAGAGGACCCGAUGCAGUGUUUAAAGAAAGAGAGGAGGCCUGUGGUGUGAAAGAGGUUGUUGGGUUGAAAGCGAGGGAAGGGACCAAGCAACGGGCCAAUCAACUACUACAAAGGCACAGAGGGGGACAAGCCAGCCGAUCCUUAUUUCUUCGUAGGCGAGCGGGAGAGUUAGUGACCUAUUCUAUAUCAAGGGUUAGUUACCUAUUGCUCUUAACCAACCAGUGCUUCUUAGACUCCCUAUAGAAGUUAUCAGAGAGAAAGGAUUUUCAAGCAAGGGUAAACUGCGGCAUACAAUCAGUUCAGUUCACCAGUUUACAGGGGUUUGGUAAAAAAUAAGAGAAAUUGACCUACUUCUCGCCACCCCACCUGAGGAGUAUAAUUGAGAGUUAUAGGCUUUAAACACCUGAUUGGGAGUGACUUGUAUAGUAGUGUCUUGCCUAGUCUUGAUCCAACAAGCAGCCAAGCCG
rnacentral:lncRNA from 1 species